rnacentral:tRNA from 1 species
GAGGAUGUAGCUCAGUGGUAGAGUGCAUGCUUAGCAUGCAUGAGGUCCUGGGUUCAAUCCCCAGUACCUGCA